GGAGUCUAGCAUGUGCGCGAGUCAUUGGGAUUCGUAGCUAAACCUAAAGGCGAAAUGAAAGUGAAGGCGCGCCUCGCGCGCGCCUAGGGAGGAUGGGCGACGCACCGCGCCGCCCCGCACUCCCGGGGCGUCUCGUUCUCAUCGCGAGAAGAGGCGCACCCAGAGCGUACACGCUGGGACCCGAAAGAUGGUGAACUAUGCCUGGUCAGGACGAAGUCAGGGGAAACCCUGAUGGAGGUCCGUAGCGAUUCUGACGUGCAAAUCGAUCGUCGGAACUGGGUAUAGGGGCGAAAGACUAAUCGAACCAUCUAGUAGCUGGUUCCCUCCGAAGUUUCCCUCAGGAUAGCUGGCGCUCGCUUUUCGCGAGUCUCAUCCGGUAAAGCGAAUGAUUAGAGGCAUUGGGGUCGAAACGGCCUCAACCUAUUCUCAAACUUUAAAUGGGUGAGAUCUCCGGCUUGCUUAAACGCCUGUUUAUGAAGCCGCGAGAUCGGAUCAGAGUGCCAAGUGGGCCACUUUUGGUAAGCAGAACUGGCGCUGUGGGAUGAACCAAACGCGGAGUUAAAGCGCCUAAAUCGACGCUUAUGGGAUACCAUGAAAGGCGUUGGUAACUUAAGACAGCAGGACGGUGGCCAUGGAA
rnacentral:rRNA from 1 species